ensembl:lncRNA
AGUAUUUUAUUCUCCCAGUCUCUGCUUUUGCAUUCUGUGACUUUAGUGGUGUGGCUAGAACAAUUUCUGGUGAAGACUGAAGCAAAAAAUUGUUGAGUAGCUGUCUCCUCCAUAUUCAUAUCCCAGGUGUGCAAACAGAAAAUACCAAAUGGAGAGGCUGUAUGAAAAUCAGUAUGUGCAGAAGACAACAAACCUUACAGUGCUUCAAGUAUCCGCAGGAGCUGAAAUGGAAUUAUUAUUGGAAAAGCUUCUUUUGAUGCACAUGCCAGUCUACUACACACUUCACCUUGUGAGGUUUUUAUGAUGGAGGAGUUGUGGCUUUUGUUCACAGAAACCUGUGGUUUCCUUCAUGUGCUGCUCUACCACUGCCUGUUUGUACCUGAAAGCUCAAAACAUUGGUAAGUCAUUCCAGUGCUCAUCAAGAUGAUCUUAAAGCCCCUUCAACAUCCAGCUAUUCUACUGAUAGUGCCAUGAAAGAAGCACAACAGAUGCACGCAUACUCGUAUGAUUCUCAAAUUACCUAUGAAUACUUAGGACUGGGAAUUUUCCUGAAAAACAUUCUUCUGUGUGUUUAAAAUUGUUUAAAAGUGUUUAGUCUAUCAUGGACAGAAGUUCUUACAGUGAAAAUGGUUUUUAUUCGGUAAAACAUAUUCCUAAGAGUAAAAAAAAGAAA